AGUGGUGAUAGCUGGUUGUCCAAGAUGGAAUUUUAGUUCAACUUUAAAUUUACCCACAGAAUUACUUAAUCUUCCUGUAUGUUUAACUGAGUCUAAAAACAGGGACAGCUCUUUAGACAUUAGGAAACAACCUUCCUACAGAGAGUAAAAAAUAUUACCACCAUCGUUGGCCCAAAAGCAGCCACCAAUUAAGAAAGUGUUUAAGCUCAACAUCUAACUAUCUUAAAUUCUAAUCACGCUACUGAACCCCCUGGAAUAAUCCACUUACAGUUAGCAGCAUAACAUUAAUAAACAAUAUAAUAAGCACCCUAUUGUUUACACUGUUAACCAACACAGGUAUGCUCUAAGGAAAAAUUACAAAAAGUAAAAGGAACUUGGCAAAUCUUGUCCCGCCUAUUUACCAAAAACAUCACCUCUAGCAUUACCAGUAUUAGAGGCACUGCCUGUCCAGUGACAUAUGUUCGAUGGCCGCAGUAUCCUGACUGUGCAAAGGUAGCAUAAUCACUUGUUCCCUAAAUAGGGACUUAUAUGAAUGGCCACAUGAGGGUUCAGCUGUCUCUUACUUUUAAUCAGUGAAAUUGACGUAUCCAUGAAAAGGCAGAUAUAAACAAAUAAGACGAGAAGACCCUAUGGAACUUUAGUUCAUUAAUACAAGUAAAACUCAAGCCUACAGGCCCUAGCCUACUCCCCCUGCAUUAAAAAUUUUGGUUGAGGUGACCUCAGGGCAUAAUCCAACCUCUGAACAACCUAAACUAAGACCGCACUACUCUAAGUGAAUACACAUUGACCCAAUAAUUUGAUCAAUGGAAUAAGUUAUGCUAGGGAUAACAGUGCAAUCCUAUUCUAGAGUCCAUAGCGACAAUAGGGAUGACUACCUCGAUGCUGAAUCAGGACAUCUUAAUGCUGGAGCCGCUAUUAAGAGUUUGUUUGUUCAACGAUUAAAGUCCUACGUGAUCUGAAUUCAGACCAGAAUAAUCCAGGUCAGUUCCUAUCUAUUUAACAUUUCUCCUAGUAUGAAACAAGAGAAAUAGGGCUCACUUAAUAAAGCACCCUCGCUCCAUA
rnacentral:lncRNA from 10 species